rnacentral:tRNA from 1 species
GCGCGGGUGGUGGAAUUGGCAUACACACAGGCCUGAGGAGCCUGGCUCAUUUUGAGCGUACGGGUUCAAGUCCCGUCCCGCGCA